CAUCGUCACUCGUCAGAGAGUGCAGAGGAAGAGGAGACGCAGGCCUCCUGAGUUGGGAUUUCGCGGACCUAACAGUAUUGCUGCUAUUAUUGCUGAUAGCAAUAAAAGAAGAAGAGGAGCAGAUGGACUGAAACGCCGACACAUCUGUCAUGCAAGUAUUAAAGGGGUACCAAGAUGCAGUAGCAGCAGGGUCUGGUGGGGUAACUGAGGAGGGAGAGGCAGCUGAGUACCACAUCAUGUAUGGUCACUAUGGACCUCUAACACCCACCACCCCACCAACAACCACCACUACCCUAAAAUUGGCCCAUAGUGAGGCCAAGGAGGGAGGCCUUACUAGUGUCACCCUGGCUGGAAGCAAUGCACUAGUACCCACCACAGCACUGGUUGAUGCCCCAGCCCUCUCCACUUCCCUGCCAUGUGGUUCAGGUGGGGAUGAGACAGAUGAGCUGGUGGGGGGGACUUUGGCGGUUACCUCUGGGGGACUGAAAGUGGCAGGAGGGGGACGUGUCUCUCCUGUGGAUGUUGGAGGCAUGGAUGCAGCAGCCUUAGUGACUUCCAUGGUGGCUCCAGGGGAGUGCCAGGGAAGUGGCAGGAAGGUGAUAGUGAAGCUCUUCAACAGCAACACCUUUAGUUUGGAUAUCAUAGCAGGGGGACAAGAAGAGGAGGAAGAGGAGAGGGUAGCACCACAUCAUGUGCUAGCCAGGAAUGGCACUCUGGUUCAUACCAAGUUGUCAGAAGGAACCCUCAUUCCUACACAGGAACAGGUGGAAGGGGAAAAUGAUGAUGGAGAUCUUGCCUCUACCACAGUACAAGCUCCCCAUCAGGGAAGUGGAGAGGAGGAGGAUGGCACCUUGCCAUGCCAGGUGAUGUGGACAUGUGCUUACUGUAGCCUUAUUCUGGGCACUUCAGAAGCUAUGGCAGCCCACCAACAGGUUUGUGCCAAAGCUCUGGAGGAUCUGCCACCCCUGGAGACCACCACAUCCCAGGCCACUGUUGAUGCCCUUAUGUCUCCUUUGCGAUCUCAAGAGGAGGCCACCUACCAUCUCAAGAUUGAGGGUGCCGGUGAUGGUCCUGAAACUUCCACUAGAGAAGAAGGAGCCACAACAGGAACAGCUGAGGUGGUGGCAGUGUGGAUGUGUGCUGUGUGCAAGGAGGAAUUUCCACACCCUAGAGCUCUUGGCCGCCAUCUUCCUUCACACACUAUCCACCAGCUGGCAGCUGCAUUGCUUCAGCUAGCCACACCCUGCCAGAAAGUUAUGGCAACAGUGGCAGCAGCUGAUGGUCACACUACCACCUCCCCUGCUGAAACUGAUCCACUCUCCAUUGAUGAGAAUUCAGAUUGGGCAAAUGACCAGUCAGCGACCAAACUGGAAGAGGAAAAUGUGGACAACCCUGGAGAUACUCCACCCCAGACACCUCCCCAGGAGAAGCCUCCAGCAAGAAGAGCACAGAGGAAGCAUGGAGCAAGACUCCAAGAAAGGGCAGAGAGAAAGAGAAAGUAUGUACGGAAGAAGAAAGGAGAGGAGGAAGAAGUGGCAGGAAAGGAAACUGAAGUAAAAGGGCAAGGUAAGGAGUAUCAGUUGCCCACUGUCACCACCACAAUUGUCAGCACCACCAUCACUACCACCCAGCCUGCCCCAAUUGGUUCUGUAGGCACAGGGAGAGGCAGCAGGGAUCCUCACCAUUGUGAGGUUUGCAAUAAGAAGCUCUCUUCCCGUGGCAAUCUCACCAAGCACCUCAUCCGUCACCGUGCCAAGAAACCCUUUGAGUGCAACAUUUGCCAUGCCACUUUCAAUGCCAACAGAGAUUGUAAGAACCACUACCUCCAGCAUCACACCACUGAGCGCCCCAAUCACUGCCACAUCUGUGGCAAGAGCUAUGUGGACAAAAGUUACCUCCUUGCCCAUAUGGUCUUCCACCGGGAUCAAAAAGCAUAUUCAUGUGAGCUUUGUGGCAAGAAGUUCAACACUUCACGCUGUGUCACUAGACACAAGAAGCGACACCAGGAAGAGAAACGUUUUGUUUGUGACAUUUGCUUCAAACCAUUUGCUGUGAGGGCUGAUCUCACCUCACACAAACGAAAAGUACACAGCAAACUUGGAAUAACCAGGCUACAGCCACCACAGCAACAGCAGCAGCAGCAGCAUUCCCUCUUGUCCACACAGCAAACACACCUCCCCCUCUCCACACAGGCACCACAACCACCUCAACCACCACCACCACCACCAGCACCACCACCACCACCACCAUCAUCCCAACAGGAGCAAGAGACACAGGUUGGAAAAUCCAAGGACCUGACUGAAUUCCUUCUGCCAGGAGUGGUUACUUCACCCCAUAUGUUACCUGAGCAGCUUCUUCCACCAGACCUCUCUGGGGGAGCUGGACUGGGAGGCAGUGUCACUCCAAAAAGAGGUGGAAUUUUCAUCAGUGGUGAUCCUCUUGCUGUCUCCUCUCUCAUUGCUGGGGGUGAGGGGGAUGGUGGGGGAGAUGGGGAGUGCUCAUAUGGGGUGACACUCACAGCACCACCAGGAGGUGGGGGAGCUGGUGGAGGAGCUGUAGCAGCAGGAGGCCAACCAGCCUACAUCAUGAUCAACAGCAGCAACAGUUCAGCAGAGAAGGGUGUUGCAACAACUACCUCAGGCCUGAGUAUUAUGUAUACCAAUGCUGCCACACUCACACAGCAGCAUACAGGAAAGGAGCUAUGUUCAUGCUGUCCUGUCUUUAUAUCUACCAGUUUCCAACCUUUAAGUUGUUGGAGACUUGGAUGAGAUUCAGCACUUGUCUACUUCAGUUGGGUCAAGUUUAGUUGGAGGAGAGGGCCAGCUGGACCUUGAAGGCCACCUAGGGAGUCAACACCACACACAGGAUCACCACACUACUGCACUGCCACCAGGAUAGAGGCAUCUGGCAACUGCAAGAGGCGAUGCACUUUUUCCUGCCAAGGCACUGAGGCAGUGGUCCAGCUCCCGCUACACGGAGAAGGUGUGCACCUUAUAUAUGGAUACUCAGUAAAGCAACCUAAGGAGCCCUGCCUUUAUCUUCAACCCUUCAUGGCGCAGUGAUCGGAGCUCAACCACACCUACAAUGUCUUCACGCUGCCCAGGAGCCACUACACCUCGAGGGAGCAGAAUCAGGGCAGCACGAUGCCCUGCCCUUACCAUAACAAGACCUGACCUGACGGGCCUGCUAAGCGGUAUGGCAUCCCUGAUGACACGCCGCUCACCGAGCAGCAGACCACCUGCUGCUGCCACUCCAGAGAAGUGCAAGAUGGAAAUGACGGCUGCAGGAUUUCAAACGUGGCGCCGCUCAGUGGAGACGUGGCUGCGUCUAGCUGCAUGGCCCAACAAGGAGACCGUGCUCCAUAUCUGGCUACUCUGUGUCCCUGACCUACAGUGCGCCCUGGAUACAAGGUUUGACACGGGACAUUAGGAGACUUGUCCACGCUAAUUUUCCCCAACCAUCACUGCUGGUUGCCGGUGUGGGGCUGGUGGGUGACGAAGUUAGCAGCAACAUUCCAGCAAGACCCACAUCGAUGCCUCUCCAGCCUCUCGAGAAAAAUGUGGCAUGUCUCGAGGAGUGGCUGUUACAACAGUUCUUGUCCUCAACUUUCAACACUGACAGAUACCCACUGCAGGUGAUGCAGGGCCCGCUGCACUCCAUCCACCUCAAGGAAGGUGCCCCACACCUGCCACACACCAGCUUCCAUCCCCAAGCACUGGGCAAACGAAGUGAAAAAACAACUCGAUGAGGAUGUCAAAAGAGGAGUGAUUCAUCUGGUGCCCGCAGGGGAGGCUACUGAAUGGUGCGCUUGGAUAGUUGUGGUUGCCAAGAAGUCAGGAAGUCAGGAAAGUACACUUAUCCCAGCAAGUAAUGUGCAAAAGAAGUGGGAAGCUUUCAUCAAUAUUUAUGAAGAGGGAGUGAAAAGAUAUGUACCAAAAGUAGAGACAAAGAGAAGAUAUAACAAUGACUGGUAUAAUAGAAGAUGUGAAAUAGCUAGGGAGGAGAGGGAAAUGGCAUGGAAUAGAUGGUGGAGGAAAAAUAUGCAGGAGCUAUGGCAAAACUACACAACUACAAGAAAUGAAUAUGUAAGGGUUAUUAGAGAAGAAAGGAAAAAUUAUGAGAAAGAUGUUAUGGACAAAUGCAAAGAGGAACCAAAACUAUUCUUCAGAUAUGUGAACAGCAAAAUGAAAAUUAGAGAAGGAAUAAGCAGAUUGAAGGUGAAUGGUCAAACGUGUAAGGAUCCAGCUGAAUUGGCAGAGAUAAUGAACAGGAGUUUUCAAUCAGUAUUCACAAAAGAGAAAACAUUUGUGUGGCAGAGUGAGAUGAGUGAAGAAAUGUGUCUGGGGGAAAUCCAAGUUACUGAAGAGGAUGUCCGGAAAAAGAUGAAGGGACUAGACAUUAGGAAGGGCCCUGGACCUGAUGGAGUGUCAGGAUGGAUACUAAAAGAGUGCAAUCAGCAGUUGACAUGGGAAAUGGAGGGAUGAGCACCACCCACACUGAAGACUUGGGAAUAGGGAGUGGUGAAGGUGGUCCUGGAGGGGCACUGGUUGGGGGAGAGGGUAACCACGCCAUUCCCAGUAACCAUGAUGCAAAUUCCGGCUUU